GUCUCUUUAAGAUCGCAAGUUUGAGAACUUCAACUUGAGUUACAGUAACGUUAGUACAGGCGAAAGAGUGGUGGAUAAGAUGAAACUGUGUGUCGGCGUUGUUUAGCAGUUGUUGGGUAUGUGACUGGAAAAAAUGCUACACAUAUUCGAAGCCAUCACCCAGAUGA